AUCAACAUUCUCCGUUUAUCACAGGUUCUUGCAGGUCUUCUGUUACACUCUAUAAUUCCUCCACAGAAGGCAGGCAUUGCUGAGGCGAAAUUAGAGGGGAGAUGACACUUCUCCAUCUCCCUGGAAAUAACAGUUUAAAAGAUUCCACACAGGAAUAAAAGAUGCAGCGUGGAGAAUGUGGCCAAAGGUAUCGUAACAGUGUUCUGUGAUGGCAGAUGGUCGCUACCCUUGUGGCUGAGGGAAGCCAUGAGAGGUUUCUGGCCAGAGACUGGGGCUGUGUAACCAAAAGGUAACUCUGUGAGCUCUGGCCUCACUGCCUAGCAGAGCGUCGGUUCAAGCCCUCAGGAGGUCUUCAGUCAUCUGUUGGAUGGAUGAAUGGAUGGAGGAUGGUGGAGACCAGGACACUGGUUUGAAGAUGCAGCCCUUGCAUCCACAAAGCACAUGAAGCAGAACAGGUGGAAGAACCACCAAGUAUUCUGUUUUUAUGUUCAUUAUAAACAAACCUAUGACUACUUUGGAAAUCUGAUACAUAAAUAGAUAUUUCACUUUUUAGAUAAUUGUUUUAGGUCCUUAAAUGCAGAUUCUGAGUC